GUUUGAGACAGGCAUCAGAUGACAAAUCUAAGAUAUAAAAGUCCAUUCUCCUAACAUAGGUGCAUUAUUUUAGUAUAGAGGAGGAGGAGCACAAGCCUCUGCGGCAUCGCUGGGCCGCGACCAUGAAAGAUGUGAUCUCCUGCUCUGUGUCUGCUGCACCGCGGUGAGCUGAGGGCGAAAAUUUGUUGUAAGUUGUUGGUGCUGAGGCAGGUUUAUGUUUCUUACCCACCCAUACACUACAGUGCAG